AGCGGCGGACGGGUGAGUAACGCGUGGGUAACCUGCCUCAUACAGGGGGAUAACAGUUGGAAACGGCUGCUAAUACCGCAUAAGCGCACAGUACCGCAUGGUACCGUGUGAAAAACUCCGGUGGUAUGAGAUGGACCCGCGUCUGAUUAGCUAGUUGGUGGGGUAACGGCCUACCAAGGCGACGAUCAGUAGCCGACCUGAGAGGGUGACCGGCCACAUUGGGACUGAGACACGGCCCAAACUCCUAAGGGAGGCAGCAUG
rnacentral:rRNA from 1 species